AGGCUUUUGGAUUGUAAACCUCUUUUCUCAGGGAAGAAAAUCUGACGGUACCUGAGGAAUAAGCCUCGGCUAAUUCCGUGCCAGCAGCCGCGGUAAUACGGAAGAGGCAAGCGUUAUCCGGAAUUAUUGGGCGUAAAGCGUUCGCAGGUUGCCCUUCAAGUCUGCUGUCAAAAACCCGGGCUUAACUCCGGAAAGGCAGUGGAAACUGAAUAGCUAGAGUACGGUAGGGGUAGAGGGAAUUCCCGGUGUAGCGGUGAAAUGCGUAGAUAUCGGGAAGAACACCGGCGGCGAAAGCGCUCUGCUGGGCCGUAACUGACACU
rnacentral:rRNA from 1 species